rnacentral:rRNA from 1 species
UAGUCCACGCCGUAAACGAUGUCUACUAGCAGCUCGGUUCGUUAGAACAGUUUUGCGCAGCUAACGCGUUAAGUAGACCGCCUGGGGAGUACGGCCGCAAGGUUAAAACUCAAAUGAAUUGACGGGGGCCCGCACAAGCGGUGGAGCAUGUGGUUUAAUUCGAUGCAACGCGAAGAACCUUACCAGGUCUUGGCAUCCUGAAAACUUUCUAGAGAUAGAUUGGUGCCUUCGGGAAUUCAGUGACAGGUGCUGCAUGGCUGUCGUCAGCUCGUGUCGUGAGAUGUUGGGUUAAGUCCCGUAACGAGCGCAACCCUUGUCCUUAGUUGCCAGCACAUAAUGGUGGGAACUCUAAGGAGACUGCCGGUGACAAACCGGAGGAAGGUGGGGACGACGUCAAGUCAUCAUGGCCCUUACGACCUGGGCUACACACGUGCUACAAUGGAACGCACAGAGGGCAGCAAACCCGCGAGGGGGAGCCAAUCCCACAAAACGUUUCGUAGUCCGGAUUGGAGUCUGCAACUCG